rnacentral:rRNA from 1 species
UACGUAGGGGCCGAGCGUUGGCCGGAAUUAUUGGGCGUAAAGGGCUCGUAGGCGGUUUGUCAGGUCGGGGGGGAAAACUCAGGGCUCAACCCUGAGCGUGCUUCCGAUACGGGCAGACUAGAGGUAUGCAGGGGAGAACGGAAUUCCUGGUGUAGCGGUGGAAUGCGCAGAUAUCAGGAGGAACACCGGUGGCGAAGGCGGUUCUCUGGGCAUUACCUGACGCUGAGGAGCGAAAGCAUGGGGAGCGAACAGG